UGAGUAAUACAUCGGAACGUGUCUUCUAGUGGGGGAUAACUGUCCGAAAGGGCAGCUAAUACCGCAUGAGACCUGAGGGUGAAAGCGGGGGAUCGUAAGACCUCGCGCUGGAAGAGCGGCCGAUGUCCGAUUAGCUAGUUGGUGAGGUAAAGGCUCACCAAGGCGACGAUCGGUAGCUGGUCUGAGAGGACGACCAGCCACACUGGGACUGAGACACGGCCCAG
rnacentral:rRNA from 1 species